AAAAAACAUUGAGAUAUAAAAUACUCAUGAUAUUCAAAGCCAUAGUCUUUCAUGUUUCGAUCAUAGCCUCUUUCUUGUUUGUUGUUCGUUAGAAUCCGGUGAGGUCGAGGUCGGUUGUUGGAGCAUUUUCUCACUCGUUCAUUUCCAGUUGCUGCGCAGAACCAAGUAACCUUUGUGUCAUCUUAUUAUUUUCAACUAAUUAUUUGUUUGGUGUUUAGUUGCUUUCGUUUAGGAAUUAUUUCUUUUGUCUUGUAUUCUUCAGUUUAAUUACGUCCCCUAGUAGCUUAAAU
rnacentral:misc_RNA from 1 species